GAUGAACGCUGGCGGCGUGCCUAAUACAUGCAAGUCGAGCGAACAGACGAGGAGCUUGCUCCUCUGACGUUAGCGGCGGACGGGUGAGUAACACGUGGAUAACCUACCUAUAAGACUGGGAUAACUUCGGGAAACCGGGGCUAAUACCGGAUAAUAUAUUGAACCGCAUGGUUCAAUAGUGAAAGACGGUUUUGCUGUCACUUAUAGAUGGAUCCGCGCCGCAUUAGCUAGUUGGUAAGGUAACGGCUUACCAAGGCAACGAGGCGUAGCCGACCUGAGAGGGUGAUCGGCCACACUGGAACUGAGACACGGUCCAGACUCCUACGGGAGGCAGCAGUAGGGAAUCUUCCGCAAUGGGCGAGAGCUUGACGGAGCAACGCCGCGUGAGUGAUGAAGGUCUUCGGAUCGUAAAACUCUGUUAUUAGGAAAGAACAAAUGUGUAAGUAACUAUGCACGUCUUGACGGUACCUAAUCAGAAAGCCACGGCUAACUACGUG
rnacentral:rRNA from 1 species